CCUGGCUACAUGUAAUUGCAGGUAAGUACUGACAUUUCUGCUGUUCUGGACAAAUGUAUUUAUUUAUUACUUUAGUGACCCACCUAUUCUCUUCAAUAUUCUCCUUCUCUCAUUUCCUAAUAUUUCCCGACUAUUAUUUACCUGAUUUGCAGAACAUACAUAUGACAACUGCUUAGAUAGAUCAAAUCAAUGACACCACAGUGUUAUAAAGAACUGGACAGGGUGUUUUGGAAGGGCAGAAUUUUCCUUUCUUACUGGUAGCACUUCCUCAAGUCAGCAGUGCUACGAGAACUGUACUCCUCCGUUCCAUAGCCAACACUGAUAUUCUGAGACAAAUACUCAGCAUUCUUUGCUGCUCUGAGUAUUCUUUCACCCCACAAAGGAAUGAUUUUGCUACUUUACAUUGGAAGAAAUAUGUAUAAAAAUGACCUGAAGUCUGAUAUAUACCUGUUGGUAUUGACUAUGUCCUUACCUGGUGAGCCAGUGUCAAGGCACCUAUUGAUUGUUUCUGAGUAAACAUCUUGUUGAAGUGGCAUUGUCUGUGAAAUGGAAUUACAUAAAUUUUAAUGCUUACAAUAAAAGUUCAUCAAAACAGUACAGAAACUUCUCUACUUAACUGGAGGUUGACUCAGUUUAUGAAACGGAGCCAUUUAUCUCCAUGGAUCAUGAUACAGGUAUCCAAAUGAACCAUCAGUAAUAAAUACGGUAUUUCCUCUCUAGUGAUCUGAACAGUGAAUAAAGAAUUAAUUUGCAUGUACUUUCAGAAACUGGGAGAAAACACGUUGAGAUCCCAAGGGUGCAAGCGGACCUGUUUGUAUUUAUAAAUGCAUGGGAAAGGAUGGCUGGAGAGAACUGGGUGGAGUUCAGCAUUGUAGGAGGUUGUAUCUUACAUAAUUCUUAUGUCUUGUCCUCAGCAGUAAUGAGAGUGGCUUUGUAGGCUGAAUCUUGAAAAAGAAAGAAACAACAGGCUUUGUUUGAUUGCUAUGGCAAGUGUAAAACCUUGUGAAUAAUGUAGAUAAUUUGUGGACACUUCAAGUAAAGAAUAAUAUAUGAUGUUCCACUCGUUAGCUUCCUUAUUGCUCUAUACAAGUUCCAUGGCAUUUUUUUUUCAGCAGCAAACAUUUGUAAAGAUCUAUGUCCUGAGAAAGAACUGGAUUACAGUUUUUAUCUUGCAUUUGUUGUGCUUUAAGUGCCUUUCUAAAUACCUUCUAAGCAAAAUAAAGAGAUUAUAAUCUUCAUUCUUCUAGGGCAGAGCCUAAGCAGAGAUCUGUCCUCCGUUGCAUCUUUAGAUGCUUAAUGCAGUACAGCAUAAAUACAUCCACGUACUCUCAGUAUCUCAAAAGUGUUACUGAUCCUAAGAAAUGUUUUGUUGGCUUUACUUCAGCAUGAUUAUAUUCCUCAUUUUCACUGUAGGCGAUGGGUUGCAGGGUAUGCUUUAAUCUUGCAUGUGAUCAAAGAAUAAUCUAAAAGAGUGUCAAGAAUAAAGUUAAUCUUAUCAUUUUAUACUGAGAAAGGACUUGCUUUACUCUGAAUAACCUUGACUAAUGUCUGUUUAACCUUGUGUUUACCUCAAAUUUAAGAAACUGUGUUCAGUAUGUAUUUUCUUGGUGAGCAGUGAGGAUGUCACAUCUUGAAGCACUGAUACCUCUGCUUCUUCCUCUCAUCUGCUGGAAGGAGGGGCCUGCUUCAUCUCCCCUGCAGGCUCACUUUGGAAGUGCUGGAGGUCCUUUGUGCAGGUGAAUGGGAGCUGGAAGGGCCAAAACCUUUUCCCUCAGCUCUGCUUGUUCCUGUCUGUAAAUAUACAAAAGUUGAUUAUGGAUUAGGUCCUUUUCUGGUCAUAACACUUGGUGGCUGCCCCAUCACUGCCACGUGCCCUUCCUGCACAGGGGAGCCCUCCAGCCCUUCAGUCACAAUAUUUUGUCUGUCCCUUUAUUCAAUAACCAAAGAAAGUUAACUUAAAUUUCUUGGAUACUUUCAGAAUUGAAAAUGUUUGUGUGAAUUUUCAAAUUCAGACUUUAUGAAAAUCAGUGCUGUUUCCUUUCUAUUGAUAGCAGUGAAAAGUUGAGGACAGGAGCAACAUUUUUCUAUGGGCAGUAACUGUUUGUGCCUGUCCAAUUCUUUGGAUGUAUCACAUACUAAAUUGCUGUUAACAUAUAGGCAGGUGAAAUUUCUGCUUCUGUCCACUUUUUCGCAUGUCGUCUCACUGAAUUCUGACCAGCUUUUUAAUUUAUCAGAACCAUUCUGAAUCUUAAUUCUGGCUUCAUGAAUGCUGCUACACUUCAUAGUUCAGUGUGCACUGCAAUUUAUGCAUGAGUACAGUCUUACAUGGUUUAAGUUAAUGAAAGAACUGACAGACCUCUGUCAGAAAGACCAUCCUACCUUUAGAGCUGAGUCUUCAGUUUCUUAGGGAAGUGUAUUUGCAGCCACCUUGGUAAUAGUGUUGAUUAGUGCCAGUACAUAUUUCCUCAGCUUGCUUGUAUGAUUUCUAUGCAGCUCUACCAGGGCAAACGUAGAUGCCCCCUUCUGCUUCACUUAUUCACUAGGCAAUUAUUCUGCCAAGAACGUAUCAAAUUGUUUAACUUUUCCUCCAGGUGCUCAAGAGAAAAGCAUGUUAACAAAAUCAGACUGUAUUUUAUUUCCAAAGUUUUCUAUCUAAUUUCUGUGCCAUGGCUGCAGCCAAGGCUUGAGGAUUUUACUGUUGUGCCAGUGUGAUUGUAGAUAUGAACAAGACAAUUUUUCAAAGCAAGUAUAAUCAGCUAUAGAACAGGUUUAAGGCAGACUUCAUUCAAGCUGGUUUUCUGAGAAUUAAUUUAUAUUUUGUACAUUUGAAUGUCUUGCUUGAAAAGGUAUUUUUAUUAUGGUUUUUAAUAUAGUAAUUUGAUGCGAUCAUAAGGAUUCACUUUGGAAGGAAUUAUUUUCACAUAUAGGUGAGGUAUCAUUCUACAAGCCUAAAAUUUCUCCUUCAUAACUUUUCAUGCAGGAGAGCUAAAAAUAAUGUGAAUUCACACAGCAACGAGGUCUUUGGGUCUCUUCACUCUCUGCCUCAUGACUGCUAAUAAAAAAUUUUCAGUGGAAAAUCUAUGAAGAAGGGAGAAGAGCAUGGGCCUGUUUAAGAAAGACAGAGAUGCUGCCUGAAAUAUUCAGAAGUUGAGGACCUCAAGCAGGCACCAGGGAAUGCUGUCCAGACUUUCCCUUUCUGUUCCUUUGUUCUGUGGAGGAUCUGGAACUGUAAUAAGAACUCCAGACAGGAAAGCAAAACCGAUCUGUACGACAGGACUAUCUCCUGCUUUCCUAUCCUGGAGAUAAAGACAGACUUUCUUACCUCUAACUUAGGAAAGGAUUAUUUAAGAAGCAUGAAAAGAGAAAUGGCUUGGAACACUGCUGGUCCUACCAUAGUGAAUUAAAGAAAAGCCUUCAUAGAAUGCACAGAAGAAACAGAAUUUAACAGAAAUAAUCAUUUCACAGGUAUGGUCCAUUCAGGUGAGUAGAUUUGUUCAAAAGGACCCUGAAAUAAUUCAGCACAGAACCCAGCAGAGUCUUGUUUACCCCACCUCCCUCUUAGAUGUGCCUGCAAAGUGUCAUUACACAGGGCACAAUGACUUUAUGAACUGUGAAUAUGUUCAUAUCUUGAUUCUUUAAAUGCUCAGCCACUUGUAUGACCUUGUCCAUAACACAUCACUUGGCCCGUUAAAAAUAAUGGGAAGUUUUCUGUCAUUUACAAAGGAGCAGAUGCAGAUGUGAGAUAAAAUGAAAUUCAGAUUCAAAGUUAUUAAGAAUAGAAGGUUGAAAGUUCUAGGUUGGAAGCUGUUUUGGAACAACUUAUUUCAGUUUGGCUUUAGCUCUGGAUUGAAAUUACAAUUCUUUGCCUUUCUUGUCUAGAUAUUUGAGAUAGCUUUAAUGUGGUUUGUCAGAUAAUUUUCAAAUAAUGCUGCCUCAAUACAGGAACUGAGUUCCUGCCCUUACAACUUUUAGUCAGAACCCUUGUAAAUGUCACUAAAAAUGUUACAAAACACUGCUGUUUCCAUAAGUGAUUAUGAAUGUGCGCUGAAUUGAAAAAACAGCACUUUUUCAGCUGCGUGCAUUAUCAGUUUUGAGCUCUGCAAAGUAAAUUCUUGGAUAUCUCUCCUUAUUUCACACAAGCAUGGUAUUAACAGCCUGGAGCAAUCUCUGUGUGCCUUUUCAAUCAGAAAAAUGUCCUGAUUUGUAUACUUACUUAUGGAGCAUAGGCCAAGCUGAAGUGCAAAUUUGUUUCCUAAGGAAAAGAGAUUUAAUGUAAAAGGUGAUCUGCAAAAGUUUUGGUUUUAGUUACCUUAGAUAAGCACCAAGAAAUCUAGCUGCUUAUUCAAGCAGGUCUUAGCUGAGAGCUGCAAAGUCAAGGAUGUCAGGGGCGUAAGCAGACAAUAUUCUGUUCUCAGAUUGCUUUCCUUAAGGUCAGGGGGUAUACUAGGAUUAUAGUAGGAUUACCACGAUAACCAUCGAGCCCACACUACCAGAACCCCACUUUACAGUGCCCAACUCAGAGCCCUCACUUCCUGUUCCCCAGUAGUUCUGCACCUCCUACAUUGAAAUUCACCUUGCAGUCCUCCCUUUCUGAUACCACGAUCCCUCCAAGUUAAAAAACCUCAGUUCCUCCUGCACUUCAGCUGCUCACUUCACUGCUUGUCUAGAAAAACAACACAAAACAAAAGCAUAUGAAAAUGUUAAGAAAUAUACUUACUGCUUUCUUUGAAAUCAUGGCAUUCCCAAUCUUAAUUAGGGUAAUUCCUGAGCCUUGAAAUGACUGCAAAAAAUACAGAGAGGACAUAGUGAGUAAACAGUACAGUCAUCAGCUACUUGUUCAGAGUAGAGAGAGCUGCCCAUAAAGUAUUCUGUGCUGAGAAUACUUUCAAAGAUGAAAAAGAGGCCCACAGAAAAACAGCUACUAUCUGAAGUAAUCUUCAGCCCAGGGAUGUGUCUGUGAAAUAACUUGUGGAGACCUUUGGUAAUUCAGUACCAUAGCCUCUGGUCACAGAGGUACUAGAUCAGAAAGGAGAUGUUCAUAAGCCCUUUUGAAGUUCUGUUCUUCCAUCACAGCAGGGCACUACAAUGCAUGGUAUAUGGCAGACAAAGGAUGGAUUAGUAUGUGAUGACCUAAUGAUUACCAGAAGAAAAGAGAGAAAAAAAGAACACAACACUGCACCAUCUCUCUGUAAGUUUCAUUUAUCCAUGAAGUAACAAUUGCUUCCAUAUUUGCAUUUCCAUUAUACAGAAUAGCCUACCUUCUGACAUACCAGCAUAAUGGUACUGUUUUAUUUAUUUAGGCUGGGUGGUUUGCUUUUCACAUUAUGACCAGCUGGUAGAAAAAUAGGAUUCAAUAAUGCGAACAUUUCACAGUAAAUAAAUUGCAUUAAUACAACAAUAUAAAAGCUGUGCUCAGCAGUUUUGGUAGGUCUGCUCUAGAACAAUCUUUCCUAACAGUCACUUUGAGAGCUAUGAAAUUACAUUUUUUUAAAUACAAAAUAUUAGAAGAAGAUUUCUGUAGGAUUUCCUUUUCUGUAGUUUGCUGAUUGCUUCCAUAGCAAACGCUUUGCUCCCACAUCCUAAGCAGAACCUAUACAUGGAAUGUAUUCUAAAUCUCCAUUCAGCACUGUCACCUUUGAUACUGAUGCACUGUUUACAGAGGAGAUAGAUAAAUAUUUGACAAUAAAUGAGACACUCGGUGUCAUGACUUUGUGCCUUAUGUCGUGUGAUACAAAUUGGCUUUGAUUUUGUUCUAAUAGAGUCAAUGCUGUGUCCUGUGGCAAGGGAGACCUUCCACAAUACAGUCUUUGACUUUGUACCUACUUUCUCUGUCUCUUGUGGGGUCUUCAUGGAGUACUUUUGAUGUAUGGCCCAGCACAGUGCUGCCAGUCACUUCUUGUAUUUUGCUGACAAUCAUCUGUGCAGAACUGCUGUUUAGUAAUGAUCCAUCAGAGAGGGACAGUGCAUUAUUUUGCUGGCACAGAAACUUGUUUGGCCACCAUAAGAUGAUAUUUUAUAUAUUGCUUAAAGAAUCAUUUUAGCGUUCUAUUAGAGCCUGAUAGAAACACUGGACUCUUUUGGUAUGAAUGGAAUAUUGUUGUUGAGGGAAAGAAUACAGUGAGGUCACAUCCUUUUGAGUUUGAAGAGAAACAAAACAAAAAAGGAAAAACACUUGCCGGCUUUUAAUGCUCCCAGUUGUCCUCUUUCUCCUCAAUUCCUUUACAACAACUGCAAUCUAAUUUUUCUGAUCCAGCACAGAAGGAAAAGAAGAGCAAAGAAAAGAAUAUGGUUGUUUUCCUUCAGAAAUUACUUGACUAUUUUGUAAAGGUACCUUACAAACACGCAUUAACAAGAAAAAAUAAAAGUGAUCACGUCUUUAAUUCUUUGUUUCUGCCAGUACUGCAGUUUAGCACUUGCUAUUCUUCUUUCUGAACACGUCUCACCGGUGUUACUGCAACCUGUGGGUCUGUGAGUAGUAAAAUUACACAAGGAGGUGAGGUGAGAUUUUAAGCCUUUAUGGUCUUUGAUAGGAAAUACCAUCUACAUAUAUGUACAUAUACGUGUUUUCCCAUUUGUCACUACUUUAGUGUCAGUGUUUUAGCUAUAAUGGAUAUGCCCUGUCCCAAAAGAAGGUAUAGGUGUUAAUAUCUCAUGUAUAAGUAUGUAUUGCAGUAUUUCAUUUUAGGGUUUGUGCUGAAGUCUUUUUUCUAAGUAAUACUUGACACAACGUAACCAAAAAAAUACUGUUUCAGUCAAACUACCUAUUUCUCCUUUUUUAAGAAGAUAUUUCUUCAUGCUUACAUAAGCACAUGAAGCACAGAGCACAAAACCAUAGCCAAAAUCCAUAUUGAAAGUGAUGCAAGGCGUUUUUCAAUUUUAUCCCUCAAUAAAAAUAAUGUGCAUACUUACUUACUUUCUAAAUGCACUCUUUUCUGCAGUGCACAGACACUGACAAGCUCCCAUUGUUCUUUCUUUACAGAUACGAUUUACACAAGGUAGAUCCAGCGCAAAAUAAAUAAAUAAAAACA